rnacentral:rRNA from 1 species
AGGAAAAGAAACUAACAAGGAUUCCCUCAGUAACGGCGAGUGAACAGGGAAAAGCCCAGCACCGAAGCCUGUGGCCAUUUGGUCAUUAGGCAAUGUGGUGUUCAGGUCGUUCCGCAGAAGCACUGCUCCACCCCAAGUCCAGCAAUGAGUACGGUAGUACGGACAUGGCCCAUUGAGGGUGAAAGGCCCGUUCGGGUGGAGUUUCGGCAGGCCAGUGCUUCUCUGGGUAGACCUUGGAGUCGGGUUGUUUGUGAAUGCAGCCCAAAGUGGGUGGUAAACUCCAUCCAAGGCUAAAUACAAGCACGAGUCCGAUAGCGAACAAGUACCGUGAGGGAAAGUUGAAAAGUACUUUGAAGAGAGAGUAAACAGUGCGUGAAACCGCUCAGAGGUAAGCAGGUGGAGUUGAACUGCAAGCUCUGAGAAUUCAGCUGGUGAGGGUGGUUUGAGCUUGGUCAAAUUGGUUGGACCCCAUGGUAUGUUCAGUUGCAUGUCUCUACUCUCGGGUGGGGAUGCGCGAUACACUCACCAAGUGUUGCGCGCCUUGGGUGUUCUUCGGACCUCCUCGCCAGUGCACUUUCUCAGAGUGGUCACCACGACCGGCGCUGCUGUCAGGCUGUCGCGGUUAAACCGGCCUUGUAGUGUCCUUGUGGUAUUGCUUGGUCGGGAUGGCAGGUAGCUCGUUGGUUUGCUUCGGCUUGCUUUCGAGUGUAAUCAGCUAACCAUGAUGGUUCUGUGCAGUGCGUCGGAGACGGCGGCUUGUGGUGUUUGCAUGCGUGCCCGAUUUGCCGGCGGUUCCCGGUUUGGUUGUUAUGUUGCUUGUGCAAGCAGGCCUAUCAAUGGCUGGGAUUCGUUCGGUGGAUGGUUGCGUGUGUGACAUUGUUCCAAGGGCCAAUAGUCUGUGGUGUAGUGGUAGACGAUCCACCUGACCCGUCUUGAAACACGGACCAAGGAGAGUAACAUGUGCGCGAGUCAUUGGGCGUAAC